UAAAGAACGGUUAUGCACUCACUACUGGACCUUUUCCUUAUAUUCUUGGAAGAGUUGAAAAUUUCGAGAUCGUCCCGCUACAUCCAGAUCCAAACCGAGAAAGAUUUGAUCCAUCUAUUCAUUACCGUGCAAUAUAUACUUAUAGAAGAGGACGCAGGACGUUUAUAGAAAUUGGGCCACCGUUACCCCAACCACCACCAAACGCAGAGGAGCUCUUAAAUUUUCAGAAUGAUGAUGAAUUGUGGCGCCCCAGUUUUACCGGAAAUGGUCCUUAUGCAGUACGACAUGGAG